UUGAACGCUGGCGGCAUGCUUUACACAUGCAAGUCGAACGGUAACAGGUUAAGCUGACGAGUGGCGAACGGGUGAGUAAUGCAUCGGAACGCGCCCGAUCGUGGGGGAUAACGCAGCGAAAGCUGCGCUAAUACCGCAUACGAUCUGAGGAUGAAAGCGGGGGACCGUAAGGCCUCGCGCGAUCGGAGCGGCCGAUGUCAGAUUAGGUAGUUGGUGGGGUAAAGGCUCACCAAGCCGACGAUCUGUAGCUGGUCUGAGAGGACGACCAGCCACACUGGGACUGAGACACGGCCCAGACUCCUACGGGAGGCAGCAGUGGGGAAUUUUGGACAAUGGGCGCAAGCCUGAUCCAGCAAUGCCGCGUGCAGGAAGAAGGCCUUCGGGUUGUAAACUGC
rnacentral:rRNA from 1 species